rnacentral:tRNA from 5 species
GCGGGAGUGGCUCAGCUGGUAGAGCGACACCUUGCCAAGGUGUAGGUCGCGGGUUCGAACCCCGUCUCCCGCUCCA